UGCGUAGGUGGCGCCAUAAGUCAGGUGUGAAAUCUCGGGGCUUAACUCCGAAACUGCAUUUGAUACUGUGGUGCUUGAGGACUGGAGAGGAGACUGGAAUUCACGGUGUAGCAGUGAAAUGCGUAGAUAUCGUGAGGAAGACCAGUGGCGAAGGCGGGUCUCUGGACAGUUCCUGACACUGAGCACGAAGCCAGGGGAGCAAACG
rnacentral:rRNA from 1 species